rnacentral:rRNA from 1 species
UACGUAGGGUCUGAGCGUUGUCCGGAAUUAUUGGGCGUAAAGGGCUCGUAGGCGGUUUGUCGCGUCGGGAGUGAAAACUCAGGGCUCAACCCUGAGCGUGCUUCCGAUACGGGCAGACUAGAGGUAUGCAGGGGAGAACGGAAUUCCUGGUGUAGCGGUGGAAUGCGCAGAUAUCAGGAGGAACACCGGUGGCGAAGGCGGGUCUCUGGGCAGUAACUGACGCUGAGGAGCGAAAGCGUGGGGAGCGAACAGG